rnacentral:rRNA from 1 species
CUUGGUCAUUUAGAGGAAGUAAAAGUCGUAACAAGGUUUCCGUAGGUGAACCUGCGGAAGGAUCAUUACUAGAGCAAAGGAUAGACAGCGCCCGCGGAGCUUGCUCCCGGGGGCUACCCUACACCGUAGGGUUUAGAGUCGUCGGGCCUCUCGGAGAAGCUCGGUCCUGAACUCCACCCUUGAAUAAACUACCUUUGUUGCUUUGGCGGGCCGCCCCGUGCCAGCGGCUUCGGCUGUUGAGUGCCCGCCAGAGGACCACAACUCUUGUUUUUAGUGAUGUCUGAGUACUAUAUAAUAGUUAAAACUUUCAGCAACGGAUCUCUUGGUUCUGGCAUCGAUGAAGAACGCAGCGAAAUGCGAUAAGUAAUGUGAAUUGCAGAAUUCAGUGAAUCAUCGAAUCUUUGAACGCACAUUGCGCCCUCUGGUAUUCCGGGGGGCAUGCCUGUUCGAGCGUCAUUAUAACCACUCAAGCCUGGCUUGGUAUUGGGGUUCGCGGUUCCGCGGCCCCUAAAAUCAGUGGCGGUGCCUGUCGGCUCUACGCGUGGUAAUACUCCUCGCGAUUGAGUCCGGCAGGUCUACUUGCCAGCAACCCCUAAUUUUUUAAGGUUGACCUCGGAUCAGGUAGGGAUACCCGCUGAACUUAAGCAUAUCAAUAAGCGGAGGA